CCUGGCUCCGCGUGCCGCCUUAUGGGAUCCAAGGCCCCGGGGUCUGGCUUGUUAAGCUCUCUGACUUGCAUUGUUCUAGCCACCAGCGUCCCCUCCCCGUCGGGCUCAGUUCCUGGAGCCGCCGCCCCCUUCCGCCCCCUCUUCAAUGACUUUGGGCCGCCUUCCAUGGGCUACGUGCAGACUAUGAAGCCCCCUGGCUCCCAGGGCUCCCAGAGCACCUACACAGACCUGCUGUCCGUUAUCGAAGAGAUGGGCAAGGAGAUCCGGCCCACCUAUGCCGGCAGCAAGAGCGCCAUGGAGCGGCUGAAGCGAGGCAUCAUCCAUGCCCGGGCACUGGUCAGAGAAUGCCUGGCAGAGACAGAGCGCAACGCCCGCACGUAACGGCGUGCCAUCCCCUCUACCCUAUGGACCUUCCCACCUAUUUGCAUCACCUUUUGGAGCAGAGCCCCUCCCCUCGUGCCCUUCUUCUCUUCCUGACCUCCUCCUGCCCUGUGACCUCCAGCCACACAGGGUGGCGUGGGAGAAGCUGGAUCCAGCACCAGACAAAAGCAGCAGAGCCGACGCCUCGGCCUCGCCGGGCCUUGGAGAGUCCUUGGCCCGGCCCCACCUCCAGCCCGACUCUGUACUGACCUUCGGCCCCCAUCCCUCCCUGUCCCACGCUGGAUCUCCUCUCUCCUCUGCCGGGGGCCUCCCUGGCACCCACCACCUUCCAGCCCUGCCUCUGGGCUGCUCAAGGUGGUGCCUUUUCUCAGCGUCUUUUACUAAAAUGCUCUUUUUCUAUAAAUAAAAGGAGAUUUGGAGUUGUUCUCUGCGGACAUCGCUGGCUGCCUGCGGGCCUUGCGGGGCCGGAGGGGGGCUGGGGACGUUCAGGGAGGGCU
ensembl:lncRNA